AUACCUUUCUCGGUUUUUUUGGCUAAGAUCAAGUGUAGUAUAUGUUAUUAUUAGUUUAAUAUCUGAUACAUGGGCUAUAUGCUCACUUUGAUAUUAAAUUUAUUUUUUGCAGGAGAGGAUCUACCACAGUGGCUUGCCACUGAGAUCUUCGCACAUCGCUUAGGUGUUGCACUAUAGCUUAGGCCUAGGGCACUCCU